UCCUUGGUGGUCUGGUGGCUAAGACUCCACACUCCCAUUGCGGGGUGGCCUGGGUUCAAUCCCUGGUCAGGGAA
rnacentral:tRNA from 1 species